rnacentral:rRNA from 1 species
UUGCUGUGGUAUUUUGACUAUACGAAGGUAUUGAAAUAAGAUUUUAAAUGAGUGCUAAGAGAAUGAUUAAACAAUUAAAAGCUUUCUUUAAUUGAAUAAUUGAAUUUAAUUUUUUAGUGCAAAAGCAAAAAUAAAAAUUAGGGACAAGAAGACCCUAUGAAUUUUUUAUUAAAUUUUAUUAAACUUUAUAUAAAAUUUAAUUUAAUUGGGGUGAUGGAAAAAGAAUAAAUAUCUUUUUUUUAAAAGAAAAUUGGUUCCGUUUUUAGCGAUUAAAUGAAAAAAAUACUCUAGGGAUAACAGCGUAAUAAUUUUGGAUAGUUCAUAUAGAUAAAAUAGUUUGCGACCUCGAUGUUGGAUUAGGAUUCUUUUUUGGUGAAGAAGUUAAAAAAA